rnacentral:rRNA from 1 species
GAGUUUGAUCCUGGCUCAGGAUAAACGUUGGCGGCGUGUCUGAAGCAUGCAAGUCGAACGGGCGUGCCCAUGAAGCUUCGGCUGAUUGGGAAUUACACGCUAGUGGCAAACGGGUGAGUAACACUUUGGUAACCUGCCCUGAGGCGAGGAAUAAGCCGGAGAAAUUCGGUCUAAUACCUCAUGUCCUCUCGCGAUACCUUCGCGAGAGUAAAGAUGCAAAUCACCUCAGGAGGGGCCUAAGGCCCAUCAGCUUGUUGGUGUGGUAAAAGCACACCAAGGCGAUGACGGGUAGCUGGUUUGAGAAGACGACCAGUCACAUCGGGACUGAGACACGGCCCGGACUCCUACGGGAGGCAGCAGCUGAGAAUCUUGCGCAAUGGGGGAAACCCUGACGCAGCGACGCCGCGUGAACGAUGAAGUCCUUCGGGAUGUAAAGUUCUUUUCUUUGGGAAAAUCAUGAUGGUACCAAAGGAAUAAGAGGUUGCUAACUCUGUGCCAGCAGCAGCGGUAAUACAGAGACCUCAAACGUUAUCCGGAUUUAUUGGGCGUAAAGCGUCCGCAGGUGGCCGCGUAAGUCCUCCGUGAAAUCUGGGAGCUCAACUCCCAGCCCGCGAAGGAUACUGCACGGCUUGAGGCCAACAGAGGCAUACGGAAUUCCUGGUGUAGUAGUUAAAUGCACUGAUAUCAGGAGGAACACCAAUGGCGAAGGCAGUGUGCUAGGUUGGCUCUGACACUCAUGGACGAAAGCGUGGGUAGCGAACGGGAUUAGAUACCCCGGUAGUCCACGCCGUAAACGCUGGGUACUAGGCUUCGGGAGUCGACCCUCUCGGAGUCGAAGCUAACGCGUUAAGUACCCCGCCUGGGGAGUACGGCCGCAAGGCUAAAACUCAAAGGAAUUGACGGGAGCCCGCACAAGCGGUGGAGCAUGUGGUUUAAUUCGUCACUAAGCGAUGAACCUUACCUAGGUUUGACUUCUAGCUGCAAACCUCUGGAAACAGAGGACUCUUUCGAAGGUGCUAGAUCAGGUGCUGCACGGUCGUCGUCAGCUCGUGUCGUGAGAUGUUGGGUUAAGUCCCGCAACGAGCGCAACCCCUUUCUUGUGUUAAAUUCUCACAAGAGACUGCCGGCAUACAGUCGGAGGAAGGUGGGGAUGACGUCAGAUCAGCGUGGCCCUUUGAUGCCUAGGGCAACACACGUGCUACAAUGGCCGGUACAAUGAGGCGCGAAGCCGUAAGGCGAAGCAAAUCUCAUCAAAACCGGUCUCAGUUCGGAUCGAGGUCUGCAACUCGACCUCGUGAAGUUGGAAUCGCUAGUAACCGUGGAUCAUCACACUACGGUGAAUACGUUCUCGGGCUUUGUACACACCGCCCGUCAAGUCAAGGAAGUCAGCAACACUCAAAGCGCAUCUUUCGGGAUGCUCCAAGGUGGGGCUGAUGACCGGGGCUAAGUCGUAACAAGGUA